UUAACCUAACGUAGAAUUUUUACGAAUCGACUAUAGAUAGAUUACAACCAUGGAUACUAUCGCAUGCUCCUAAAUUUGGCUAUCUUAAAGUUUACAUUUCCAGUGUAAAGUUAUGAUUUAAUAUCCAUGAAUCUAAAUGUUCACAAUUGGGAACAUAUUGCAAAUACAUUUCUGCUAACAUACAACACAAUUGUAAUACUUUCUGAACUGAUUCUUCUUGUAAAAGCCAUUUGGGAUCUGAUACUGCAAUACGAUGUGCUUGAUGUAAAUAGUGUAGUGCUUUGUCAUUAUCAAUAUCAGUUUUUUUAAGAAAAACUUUCCAUCUGAAUCAUUAACAUUGUUUACUACAGCAUCAGUAAGUAUGUCAAGAAUUUGAACAUCUAAAUGGUGAUUUUUCAAGUCUAAAAUACGAUGAUAACAUCGAAUUACCUAGAAAAAUGUGUAAAAGACAUAAAUCGUUAAAAGAUAUAUGAUUUUCGGGAUGAGUUAAAUUUUAUUUUUAUUAAUAUUAUAUAUUCGUACUUCUGAAAAAUGUCCUAAGUCAAUGCUAACGACCAUUAAAUUAUCCCAAACUUGCCAUUGAUCAUAGUUACACUUUAAAGCAUCUUGAAGAGAUUUCCAAGCUUUCACUUUAUCACCUAGCUUUAUAUAAGCUUUGGCUAAAUUAUUCCAAGCCUCGAAUGUCUAUAAUUAAAUUGCCAAAUUCUUUAAUAUAUAUUCUUCAUAUAUAUUAUUACAUAACAAAUUAAUAAUUGAAAAUAUUAAUACAAACCGUUUGCUCUAGUGCGCAAUAACGUUUAUAUGCUGUUGCUGCCAGUUUCCAAUCUUUCACUUGUAAAGCAGCAAAUCCAAGUCUAAUCCAAACAUUUUCUUGAAUGUUAUUUAAUUCAACUGAUAAUUUUAAAUGUGGUAUAGCUUCCUCAUACUUAAAAAUAAAAAAUAAUAUAUGUAUUUAAUUAAAUUACUAAGAAAAGGGAAAACUUUUCAAGCUUAUAUUUAUGUACGCACAUUUUGUUUGGCAAAAUAAAAAAAUCCCCAAUGUCUUUGAA